UACUGACCUGUACUUCCAAAACCUGUCUAUUAUUCUCAUAACGGUGCCUAUUAUGCUGGCAUAAUUCUCACCAAAAAAAUGUGCCUAUUAUGCUCAAAAUUAUUCCAGCAUACUUGAAUCUACCAACCCCUAUAUUGCCUAAAGCCUAGGUUAAAGUGGACUUUGCUCAAAGACUGAGGGAAAGAAGCUUCCUUAUAAAUGUGGGCGCCCUAUCAGCAUUUGAUAAUGAGUCAGAGAUCGGAGAUGAGAGUGAAGAGGACAAGUGGAGGUGGGGAAAGCGUGGUAAGAAGCACCCUCGGUCAGUGGCCCCUCGGGGAUGGGUUAGCAAGAGGAGGAAGAUUGAUCGACCGAUAAAGGAGUGUGACUCUCUUGUCAGGGCAACACCCAUGGACCUGGCUCGUGAAAACGUCCAAUCGAAUAUCGAGAAGAAGCAAGCCGGCACAGAAGAGGUGGACUCAGAUGCAACUGAAAGUUACUACGGCAGCGUUAUUGAGGAGCGUGUGGCAGCUGUGACGAGUGUGAGGAAUGUGGAGGGUGUGAGGGAUGUGGAGACUGUGGAGUGUCCUGUGUGUGGUGUGAAGCUGCCGCAGUAUGCCAUUGACAUGCCAGCACUUGUGGAGAUGAACACACUUAAUUCAGUAGCUAGUGUUGGACCGAUAUGGAUUGAAUAAUUUUUAUCAUACAGUGUGUCCAUUUAUUUUGUCAACAUUAACUUUUAA